AGCACUUUACGACUGGCAGGAGGCGGGGGAUGACAGACCGCUCCAGGAACGAGAGAUGGAGCGAUCGCAUUUCCCCCCCAAGGCCCGCUAGGACCCGCUGACGUCGGGGCAGGGGUCAAGGGUCAGGAAUGGGUCCAGCUGUGCGUCUGGAAAGGACCCAGCGUGCCCACGCUCCCGGCAAGCCAGGGCUCAAACAUCCCCCCCAAGGGCGUCCGGGCUGAUGACGAUAGCGCCCAAUCGCCCUCCAGAAGCAGGCUGGCAGGAACAACCAGAGGGACUUCCCUGACUGACCCCGCGUUUGCUCAGCUUUGA
ensembl:processed_transcript uncharacterized LOC110321096